UACAGAGGUCUCAAGCGUUGUUCGGCUUCAUUGGGCGUAAAGGGUGCGUAGGUGGCGCCGUAAGUCGGGUGUGAAAUUUCGGAGCUUAACUCCGAAACUGCAUUCGAUACUGCGGUGCUUGAGGACUGGAGAGGAGACUGGAAUUCAUGGUGUAGCAGUGAAAUGCGUAGAGAUCAUGAGGAAGACCAGUGGCGAAGGCGGGUCUCUGGACAGUUCCUGACACUGAGGCACGAAGGCCAGGGGAGCAAACGGG
rnacentral:rRNA from 1 species